rnacentral:rRNA from 1 species
CCCUUAGAUGUUCUGGGCCGCACGCGCGCUACACUGACGAAUGCAACGAGCUUAUAACCUUGGCCGAAAGGUCUGGGUAAUCUCCAAAUUUCGUCGUGAUGGGGAUAGAUUAUUGCAAUUAUUAAUCUUCAACGAGGAAUGCCUAGUAAGCGCAAGUCAUCAGCUUGCGUUGAUUACGUCCCUGCCCUUUGUACACACCGCCCGUCGCUCCUACCGAUUGAAUGGUCCGGUGAAGCGUUCGGACCGUGGCCUUUGGACGGUUCGCCGUCUGUUGGCUGCGGGAAGUUCGUUAAACCUUAUCAUUUAGAAGAAGGAGAAGUCGUAACA